rnacentral:rRNA from 1 species
GGGUUGUGAGGUUAAGCGACUAAGCGUACACGGUGGAUGCCCUGGCAGUCAGAGGCGAUGAAGGACGUGCUAAUCUGCGAUAAGCGUCGGUAAGGUGAUAUGAACCGUUAUAACCGGCGAUUUCCGAAUGGGGAAACCCAGUGUGUUUCGACACACUAUCAUUAACUGAAUCCAUAGGUUAAUGAGGCGAACCGGGGGAACUGAAACAUCUAAGUACCCCGAGGAAAAGAAAUCAACCGAGAUUCCCCCAGUAGCGGCGAGCGAACGGGGAGCAGCCCAGAGCCUGAAUCAGUGUGUGUGUUAGUGGAAGCGUCUGGAAAGGCGCGCGAUACAGGGUGACAGCCCCGUACACAAAAAUGCACAUGCUGUGAGCUCGAUGAGUAGGGCGGGACACGUGGUAUCCUGUCUGAAUAUGGGGGGACCAUCCUCCAAGGCUAAAUACUCCUGACUGACCGAUAGUGAACCAGUACCGUGAGGGAAAGGCGAAAAGAACCCCGGCGAGGGGAGUGAAAAAGAACCUGAAACCGUGUACGUACAAGCAGUGGGAGCACGCUUAGGCGUGUGACUGCGUACCUUUUGUAUAAUGGGUCAGCGACUUAUAUUCUGUAGCAAGGUUAACCGAAUAGGGGAGCCGAAGGGAAACCGAGUCUUAACUGGGCGUUAAGUUGCAGGGUAUAGACCCGAAACCCGGUGAUCUAGCCAUGGGCAGGUUGAAGGUUGGGUAACACUAACUGGAGGACCGAACCGACUAAUGUUGAAAAAUUAGCGGAUGACUUGUGGCUGGGGGUGAAAGGCCAAUCAAACCGGGAGAUAGCUGGUUCUCCCCGAAAGCUAUUUAGGUAGCGCCUCGUGAAUUCAUCUCCGGGGGUAGAGCACUGUUUCGGCAAGGGGGUCAUCCCGACUUACCAACCCGAUGCAAACUGCGAAUACCGGAGAAUGUUAUCACGGGAGACACACGGCGGGUGCUAACGUCCGUCGUGAAGAGGGAAACAACCCAGACCGCCAGCUAAGGUCCCAAAGUCAUGGUUAAGUGGGAAACGAUGUGGGAAGGCCCAGACAGCCAGGAUGUUGGCUUAGAAGCAGCCAUCAUUUAAAGAAAGCGUAAUAGCUCACUGGUCGAGUCGGCCUGCGCGGAAGAUGUAACGGGGCUAAACCAUGCACCGAAGUUGCGGCAGCGACGCUUAUGCGUUGUUGGGUAGGGGAGCGUUCUGUAAGCCUGUGAAGGUGUGCUGUGAGGCAUGCUGGAGGUAUCAGAAGUGCGAAUGCUGACAUAAGUAACGAUAAAGCGGGUGAAAAGCCCGCUCGCCGGAAGACCAAGGGUUCCUGUCCAACGUUAAUCGGGGCAGGGUGAGUCGACCCCUAAGGCGAGGCCGAAAGGCGUAGUCGAUGGGAAACAGGUUAAUAUUCCUGUACUUGGUGUUACUGCGAAGGGGGGACGGAGAAGGCUAUGUUGGCCGGGCGACGGUUGUCCCGGUUUAAGCGUGUAGGCUGGUUUUCCAGGCAAAUCCGGAAAAUCAAGGCUGAGGCGUGAUGACGAGGCACUACGGUGCUGAAGCAACAAAUGCCCUGCUUCCAGGAAAAGCCUCUAAGCAUCAGGUAACAUCAAAUCGUACCCCAAACCGACACAGGUGGUCAGGUAGAGAAUACCAAGGCGCUUGAGAGAACUCGGGUGAAGGAACUAGGCAAAAUGGUGCCGUAACUUCGGGAGAAGGCACGCUGAUAUGUAGGUGAAGUCCCUUGCGGAUGGAGCUGAAAUCAGUCGAAGAUACCAGCUGGCUGCAACUGUUUAUUAAAAACACAGCACUGUGCAAACACGAAAGUGGACGUAUACGGUGUGACGCCUGCCCGGUGCCGGAAGGUUAAUUGAUGGGGUCAGCGCAAGCGAAGCUCUUGAUCGAAGCCCCGGUAAACGGCGGCCGUAACUAUAACGGUCCUAAGGUAGCGAAAUUCCUUGUCGGGUAAGUUCCGACCUGCACGAAUGGCGUAAUGAUGGCCAGGCUGUCUCCACCCGAGACUCAGUGAAAUUGAACUCGCUGUGAAGAUGCAGUGUACCCGCGGCAAGACGGAAAGACCCCGUGAACCUUUACUAUAGCUUGACACUGAACAUUGAGCCUUGAUGUGUAGGAUAGGUGGGAGGCUUAGAAGUGUGGACGCCAGUCUGCAUGGAGCCGACCUUGAAAUACCACCCUUUAAUGUUUGAUGUUCUAACGUUGACCCCUAAUCGGGGUUGCGGACAGUGUCUGGUGGGUAGUUUGACUGGGGCGGUCUCCUCCUAAAGAGUAACGGAGGAGCACGAAGGUUGGCUAAUCCUGGUCGGACAUCAGGAGGUUAGUGCAAUGGCAUAAGCCAGCUUGACUGCGAGCGUGACGGCGCGAGCAGGUGCGAAAGCAGGUCAUAGUGAUCCGGUGGUUCUGAAUGGAAGGGCCAUCGCUCAACGGAUAAAAGGUACUCCGGGGAUAACAGGCUGAUACCGCCCAAGAGUUCAUAUCGACGGCGGUGUUUGGCACCUCGAUGUCGGCUCAUCACAUCCUGGGGCUGAAGUAGGUCCCAAGGGUAUGGCUGUUCGCCAUUUAAAGUGGUACGCGAGCUGGGUUUAGAACGUCGUGAGACAGUUCGGUCCCUAUCUGCCGUGGGCGCUGGAGAACUGAGGGGGGCUGCUCCUAGUACGAGAGGACCGGAGUGGACGCAUCACUGGUGUUCGGGUUGUCAUGCCAAUGGCACUGCCCGGUAGCUAAAUGCGGAAGAGAUAAGUGCUGAAAGCAUCUAAGCACGAAACUUGCCCCGAGAUGAGUUCUCCCUGACCCUUUAAGGGUCCUGAAGGAACGUUGAAGACGACGACGUUGAUAGGCCGGGUGUGUAAGCGCAGCGAUGCGUUGAGCUAACCGGUACUAAUGAACCGUGAGGCUUAACCUUACAACGCCGAAGCUGUU